AUAGGUGUUGGAGUUCAGCUGCUAAAUUUUUAAUAUCUUCUCCCGCAGACAAUUCAACAAGGACAGAUUGAUCACAAACGUAUGACGCUAUAUAAUACGAACAAUACCCGCAUGUAUAUUCAAUAGAGUUUCAUUAUUGUCACAGAGCUAACCUUGGCUUCUCAUUAAGACUUUUCCUAUCCGACUGAAAGCAAGCAAUCUUUUCAUUGGCAGCAUGGGAUACAUCAUGUGUUUUAUUCUGAUGUCGUCACUGAUAAACACGGCACUUCCCAGAAGCACAAAAACUAGACAGGUGGCGCUUUUGGACAAGGAAUGCUGGGACCAUUGCAACGCAGAGUACAACAAUUGUAAACUGUUUGAUGGUUGUCGUAAAAUGCCUUUUGGAAAAUUCAACAGCCAGUGUAUGUUUGACUGUGAGAGUUGGGCUGAAACCUGUCUGUGGCGCUGCUUAUAACUGACACAAACUGAUCUUUGGAUAAAUUGAUGACAGUAAUUUUCGAUUUGCAGCAAUCAUGAUUAAAGAAAUUUGGUAACGUGUCAUCUAAUGUUUUCAUAUGAAUAAAGAAAAAAUUAUUCUAGGC